rnacentral:rRNA from 1 species
AAACUAACCAGAAUUCCCCUAGUAACGGCGAGCGAACCGGGAAAAGCCCAGCAUGGUAAUCUGCUUCUCACGAAGCCGAAUUGUGGUCUGGAGGGCGGUGCUCCGCGAGGUCCGAACGCCAAGUCUGCUGGAAAGCAGCGUCAGAGAGGGUGACAACCCCGUUUGCGUCCGGUGUCCUCGCUGCUCGAGCCCGUCCCGCUGAGUCGGGUUGCUUGGGAAUGCAGCUCUAAGUCGGUGGUAAAUCCCAUCGAAGGCUAAAUACUGGCGGGAGACCGAUAGCGAACAAGUACCGUGAGGGAAAGAUGAAAAGAACUUUGAAAAGAGAGUUAAAAAGUGCCUGAACUUGUUGAGAGGGAAGCGAUGUGGACUCGUUCAUCCUUCCCCGGCCGAUGCCUUGCUUUCUGCGAGGUUGGACGCCGUGGGAGAGGUCAGCGUGGGUUGGGGGCCGUCGCACAACCACCGGCAGCCGCGUGCUCCGGUGCAUGCGCGUCCCUCGACCGAGGCCAAGAGAGCGGGUCUUCGGGCCCGACCCCUCGGGGUUCUGCUCUUCUCCGGACUGCUGGCCGAAACGACCUCAUCGGC